UUCGUUGCCAUACAACCCGAGAUAAUCUAGUUUGGUCAAGUUUCCAAGAAUUGACGGUAUCUCACUGCUUGAGCUGUUGUUGCUUAAGGAAAGUUCCUGUAGCUGGACGAGUCUCCCUAAUUCCUUUGGAACGGAGCGGGAUAACAUGUUUUGGUGGAUGGCAAGAUCGGUCAACAUGGUUAGAUUACCCAACGAUGUAGGAAUUGGGCCUGUGAGGUUAUUAAAUGUCAGCGUCAGUUCCCUGAGGAUCUGUAGGUUUCCAAUCUCAGAUGGUAUUUCACCGCUAAGCGAGUUGUUACUGAGGUCAAGGUAGGAGAGUAUGGAUAAAGAGUUGAUGGUGGCUGGAAUGGCACCAUGGAGAAUGUUGUGUCAUGGGCCUUGCCUCUCCAACACCAGUGGGGGACGUCCAGCCCAACCCCAUGAGGAGGCGAAGGCCCAAAUCAAGAGUCAUCGGUGACGACUGGGUCACGUGAGUGUGUUGCGUUGUAUAAGUGUUGUUGCUCUCCGUAAUAUUUGCUUGUCGAUUGACCAGACGAACGAACUGAACAAGGCGCCCUUGUGGUGGCGAACGCGAAAUCGAAUCCAUCCCCUAUCCCCCGAUAAUCCCUAGUUCCCCUAAGGCCCCUUACAUCUGGUAUCAUAUUCGCGAUCCUGGCACCUGCUACUCAGGAGAUGACGGCCUUGGAGACUCAGCGGCAGAUGGCGGAGCUGCUAGCUGCCGUGCAGUCGCAAUCCUCUCACCUUGCCAAGCUGGAUCACAUCAGUUCCAAGGUUGAUUCGCUUGAGGAGCUGAAGCCCGUGUUGAAGGAUUUCACUACUUGGAAGCCGCUCAUGGAUCAGGCGGUGACCGUGCUCCAAGCCGAAUUGGGGGAUCUGCGUUCCUCCAUCGACAUGCUGGUCGGCUCAUCGUCAACACGGCCUCCCUCCACGCCAACAACGGUGGAUCCGGACCCGCGCGGCCUUCACGGCCCUGUGCGUGGGUUGUCGAUCCCCAAUGCUCCUCCUAGAGCCGACGUCGGGCUCGGGCCUGAUGGCCAUCGCUCUGCAUCUUCCUCACGGGGUCUGACGUUUGGGGAUUCCUUCCCCACGUCGACUCUGGUCAACGGUGGUCUUCAAGGCCGUGGCGCUGCUGGGGCAAUGGAAGUCCCUGCUUCCGGAUAAGAGAAAGGUGGCGACUGUUGCAGUCAUUGAUAAGCUCAUGGAGGAGGCGAUUAAGGAGGCGCAAGGCGUGGGAUGAUGCUGUGCUGUGUCUGUAAUUGUGGUUGCUAGGGAGUGCCUUGACUGUUUACUUUUGCUCAGACGGUGCUGUGUUUUGGCGGUAUUUGCUGAAUGUUGUAAGCUGGUAACACCAGCAUAAGACUUCUGGCUUUCUAAUAAAGCUGGGCUGAAAAGCCUCUUUUCCAAAAAAAAGAAGAAGAGAUCAAAUAGGCAACGCACAGUUGUCACACUAAGUGCGAGGGCACUGCGCAGUUGUCACAGAGGUCAGACAGUAAGAGCCUCUGCUAACGCAUUUACCGUCUAAUAGACUUGACUUAACUUUGCAGAUUUGCAGUAGAGUUUUUGUUUGAUGGUAUCAUCUGUGAUUGCUCUGAAGGAAUUUCUUUUUCAC